CCGAGUGAGGGGGCCUCGCGCCCUCGAUCUCCAACCCUUUGUUUAAUCAACUCUGUUGCCUCGGGGGUGACCCGGCCGCGUGUCGGGCGCCCCCAGAGGGCCCAUCAAUUCUGCAUCCCUGCGUCGGAGUAUUGAAAGCAAAUCAAUCA
rnacentral:misc_RNA from 1 species